rnacentral:rRNA from 1 species
CAAGUCGGACGCGAAAGUUCCCUUCGGGGAGCGAGUAGAGUGGCGCACGGGUGAGUAACACGUAGGUAAUCUACCUUUGGAUUGGGAAUAACAACCGGAAACGGUUGCUAAUACCGAAUAAUGCAGCGGCACCUAAUGGUGACAGUUGUUAAAGCGGGGGAUCGCAAGACCUCGCGUCUGAAGAGGAGCCUGCGGCGGAUUAGCUAGUUGGUAAGGUAAUGGCUUACCAAGGCUAUGAUCCGUAGCCGGCCUGAGAGGGCGGUCGGCCACACUGACACUGACAUACGGGUCAGACUCCUACGGGAGGCAGCAGUCGGGAAUUUUGGGCAAUGGGCGAAAGCCUGACCCAGCAACGCCGCGUGAAGGAUGAAAUCCUUCGGGAUGUAAACUUCGCAAGAACGGGAAGAAUAAGUAAGAGUUAAUAUCUCUUACGAUGACGGUACUGUUUGUAAGCUCCGGCUAACUCCGUGCCAGCAGCCGCGGUAAUACGGGGGGAGCAAGCGUUGUUCGGAUUUACUGGGCGUAAAGGGCGCGUAGGCGGCCACCGCAAGUCACUUGUGAAAUCUCCGGGCUUAACCCGGAAAGGUCAACUGAUACUGCGGGGCUAGAGUGCAGAAGGGGCAACUGGAAUUCUCGGUGUAGCGGUGAAAUGCGUAGAUAUCGAGAGGAACACCUGCGGCGAAGGCGGGUUGCUGGGCUGACACUGACGCUGAUGUGCGAAAGCUAGGGGAGCGAACGGGAUUAGAUACCCCGGUAGUCCUAGCCUUAAACGAUGAAUGCUUGGUGUCUGGGGUUUUAUAGUCCCCGGGUGCCGUCGCUAACGCUUUAAGCAUUCCGCCUGGGGAGUACGGUCGCAAGACUGAAAC